GGCUUUCUGAGAAACAUAGAGGGUCGUGCCUUCCCAGUGGGUAUACGAGCCUAAACGGACGCGGUAAAUCGUGCUAAGGUACGCUAAAUUAUGGCCUAUUAAUUGUAGGUCCUGUGAAUGGUUUGACGAGUCUUUAUCUGUCUCAAGGUUAUUUUGGUGAACUUGAAUUAAAUGUGCAAAUGCGUUUAUGACGGAGAAAGAGGAGAAGACCCCAAAAAGUUAGAAAUUUUCAGUAUAGCGUGAAUCCUUGACGCCUUAAUAGGCAGGNAGUUGUCUUUUAAAUUUAUUGGUGGAUGGGGUUGACAGGUAGUAUUAUAAUUUAGGGGAAAAGCUAGGGAGUAUGGUUGAUAAGUUUUGGCUGGGGCAGCNAAAAGGCAAAAUUAGACCUUUUUUGUUUUUUGACGGGUGCGAUAUGAUCCCCAUGUUUUGGAAGAUGUGCUUAACAGAAGAAGUUACUCCGGGGAUAACAGCGUUAUCCCUCCUGACAGUUCUAAUAGAUGGGUGGGUUUGCGCCCUCGAUGUUGGCUCGGGGUUCCGGAGGCUGUAGGCGGUCUCAAAGG
rnacentral:rRNA from 1 species